rnacentral:rRNA from 1 species
UACGUAGGGUGCGAGCGUUGUCCGGAAUUACUGGGCGUAAAGAGCUCGUAGGCGGUUUGUCGCGUUGUUCGUGAAAUGCCACAGCUUAACUGUGGGCGUGCGGGCGAUACGGGCAGACUGGAGUACUGCAGGGGAGACUGGAAUUCCUGGUGUAGCGGUGGAAUGCGCAGAUAUCAGGAGGAACACCGGUGGCGAAGGCGGGUCUCUGGGCCGAUACUGACGCUGAGGAGCGAAAGCGUGGGGAGCGAACAGG